ensembl:snoRNA SNORA75 Small nucleolar RNA SNORA75
CACUUCUCAAUGAGCUCCUUCCUGCCAACAAAUCCAUGGCAGCCUAUGGAUUCGCACGAGAAGAAUAUUAACUGUUCAGUACUGGCAAAUUCACAACAGGACUCCAUCCGUUGUGAUCAGCCACUGCUCUUCCACAAGU